CAGCCGCCGCGGGAAUACAGAGGGUGCGAGCGUUAAUCGGAUUUACUGGGCGUAAAGCGUGCGUAGGCGGCUUUUUAAGUCGGAUGUGAAAUCCCUGAGCUUAACUUAGGAAUUGCAUUCGAUACUGGGAAGCUAGAGUAUGGGAGAGGAUGGUAGAAUUCCAGGUGUAGCGGUGAAAUGCGUAGAGAUCUGGAGGAAUACCGAUGGCGAAGGCAGCCAUCUGGCCUAAUACUGACGCUGAGGUACGAAAGCAUGGGGAGCAAACAGGAUUAGAUACCCGGGUAGUCCUGUCUCUUAUACA
rnacentral:rRNA from 1 species